CAGUAGCCGCGGUAAUCCGUAGGUGGCAAGCGUUGUCCGGAAUUAUUGGGCGUAAAGGGCUCGCAGGCGGUUUCUUAAGUCUGAUGUGAAAGCCCCCGGCUCAACCGGGGAGGGUCAUUGGAAACUGGGAAACUUGAGUGCAGAAGAGGAGAGUGGAAUUCCACGUGUAGCGGUGAAAUGCGUAGAGAUGUGGAGGAACACCAGUGGCGAAGGCGACUCUCUGGUCUGUAACUGACGCUGAGGAGCGAAAGCGUGGGGAGCGAACAGGAUUAGAUACCCCUGUAGUCCCUGUCUCUUAUAC
rnacentral:rRNA from 1 species